rnacentral:sRNA from 2 species
AGUAACUUCAUUGGGGAGUAGCCGCUAUUUACAAUUAUUGUAAAUAGAUGAUGGUCAACAUACUUGUUCUUUUGAACAUGGUCAUCAUAGCAAAGAACCAAGUUUUUUCUUUUGUUGGCAAGACCUUUGAU